UGGCGAACGGGUGAGUAAUGUAUCGGAACGUGCCCAGUUGUGGGGGAUAACUGCUCGAAAGAGCAGCUAAUACCGCAUACGACCUGAGGGUGAAAGCGGGGGAUCGCAAGACCUCGCGCAAUUGGAGCGGCCGAUAUCAGAUUAGGUAGUUGGUGGGGUAAAGGCUCACCAAGCCGACGAUCUGUAGCUGGUCUGAGAGGACGACCAGCCACACUGGGACUGAGACACGGCCCAGACUCCUACGGGAGGCAGCAGUGGGGAAUUUUGGACAAUGGGCGCAAGCCUGAUCCAGCCAUGCCGCGUGCGGGAAGAAGGCCUUCGGGUUGUAAACCGCUUUUGUCAGGGAAGAAAAGGCUCCUGUUAAUACCGGGGGCUCAUGACGGUACCUGAAGAAUAAGCACCGGCUAACUACGUGCCAGCAGCC
rnacentral:rRNA from 1 species